CAUUACCGAAACUCUCAUAUUUCUCUCACACUUCAAUAGCUCUAUCUCAUAAAAUUUCUCUUCAGAAACCCUAAAUCCCAAAAUUUCUCUUCGCACGAUAACCCUUCAAUCGCUAAACGCUCCUUCCCUGAACUCAAUCGUUCAACCCUUCAUAUGCUGCUGAAACCCUCAUUCGAUGGCUGAACUCAACCGCUCGCUGAACUCAAUCGAUGGCUGAACACUUGAUUCGCUCAAUAGCUCCCUCCCUAAACUGAAUCGCUCCAAAUUUCUUCUCACAAGCCAUCAAUCCUUCAGUGGCUCAACCCCUCUUCUCUAAAUCUCUUGUCACAACUAGAUUUACUGGAGGUAAGGGAGAACCGCGUUUCUCUGCAGUUAUUUUGUGGGUUUAAGCUAUUAUUUUCAGCGUUUGGUCGCAAGUUCCAUGAUUUUGUUCGAUUCAUAUUUAGAAUGCUUACUGUAGGUUUUUUUUAGAAGCUACUUGUUUCUUUCAUAUUUUCCUUAUACAACAAAAUGUUGUUUGUGAUUUUUUCUCACAAGUAUUUUGUAUUCCUGCUUUAUUUUUUAUUUUCAAGUGUCAAUAAUCUUUAGUGGGAACUGACCUAUUAUAUUAGGUUUGUAGAUGCAACAAUGUAUUUGAAUCUACCUUAUUGUGUUUCCUGUAUGAAUAAAGUGAGGAUAACUCAAAUUUCUGUGAGACUUAUAUAUGCUAUUGUUUUUUAUUCUGAUUUCUUGUCUUGUGUUGUGUGUCUCUUAAUGGCUUUUUUUACAAUUUACUAUAAUGACAUUACCCUUUGAGAAUUAUUGGCUAUGAUUGGAUUCCCUUAUCUGCCAAACUAGUUUUAACUAUGAACAAUGUAUACAUACUCUUCUGGAUUUGCAAACUCAAUGAGAUGUAGGAAAGGGAAAAAAGAUGGCAAGUUUUUCUAGCAGUGCCAGUGCUUCGAUGAUGACGAAAUGUACUGCUGACAGUUUGAAUUCUGAUUGUACGUGUGCGGGUUCUUUGACCUUCUCUCUAGACCUUGGUGAAGCCGGUUUCUUGGGAUUAACUGGAUUACAGAAUCUAGGAAAUAUUUGCUUCAUGAACAGUGCCCUUCAAUGUGAAAUGUGUAAGUGGAUCAAGCUACUCAUGGUGGUGGCAGAGCAUAUGGUGCAUUGCUGUUGGAUGCUGGAGGUACCCUCUUGAAGUUGAUCAAUCUUGUUCAAUAUACUUAUGCCGUUAUUGGAUCAAGAUAUGGAGGUCAGGUCAGAGCGGAAUUACAACUUCUAGAAAGGAGACUGAUACAUGUAAAAUAUUUUCAGGAGUUUCAGAUGGUGUUACUACAGAAACUCCAAUCCACGUAUUUGUGCCUAUCUCUUAUUUAUGGGCAAAAUACCUCAAUUGUCCAUAAUGGUUUUUUGGGAUGAAGGGAAAAUGUAUAUUGGCAUUCCAUUACCAGAAUAUGUUUUGUACUCUUAUAAGGGAGGUUGGGAGAAUGAUGAAACUGUUGAAGAGGCUGCUGUAAGAGAAGCUAUAGAAGAAGCAGGAGUUCGAGGUGAUCUAAUGGUGAGAAAUGUGAAUUUAAUAACUUUUGAG